rnacentral:rRNA from 1 species
UACGUAGGGGGCUAGCGUUGUCCGGAAUCAUUGGGCGUAAAGCGCGUGUAGGCGGUCCGGUAAGUCCGCUGUGAAAGUCGGGGGCUCAACCCUCGGAUGCCGGUGGAUACUGUCGGGCUUGAGUACGGAAGAGGCGAGUGGAAUUCCUGGUGUAGCGGUGAAAUGCGCAGAUAUCGGGAGGAACACCAGUGGCGAAGGCGGAACUCUGGGCCGGAACUGACGCUGAGGAGCGAAAGCGUGGGGAGCGAACAGG